rnacentral:lncRNA from 1 species
CCAAAACCAGUGAGACUUCCAGAUGGUAACCACCUCUUCGAUGGGCACAUUCUUGGUCUCCGGGAGAAAGAAGAAGAUGAAGGUGGUCAUGAUGACCACCCAUCCACCGAAGAAGUAAAACAAUCCGAAUUUCAGAUGACAGAGCAUCGUCAAGAAUAUCUGUGCGAUCAAGAAAGUGAAGAACAUGUUAACUGACACAUUGAUACUCUGUCCUGCAGAUCUGAUCUCUAAAGGGAAGAUCUCCGACGGCACAAGCCAU